AUUGAACGCUGGCGGCAGGCCUAACACAUGCAAGUCGAACGCGUGGCGGACGGGUGAGUAAUGUCUGGGAAACUGCCUGAUGGAGGGGGAUAAAUACUGGAAACGGUAGCUAAUACCGCAUACCAUCGGGUAUGCCAAGAUGGGAUUCGCUAGUAGGUGGGGGAAAGGCUCACCUAGGCGACGAUCCCUAGCUGGUCUGAGAGGGUGACCAGCCACACUGGAACUGAGACACGGUCCAGACUCCGACGGGAGGCAGCAGUGGGGAAUAUUGCACAAUGGGCGCAAGCCUGAUGCAGCCAUGCCGCGUGUAUGAAGAAGGCCUUCGGGUUGUAAAGUACUUUCAGCUGGGAGGCGUUACCCGCAGAAGAAGCACCGGCUAACUCCGUGCCAGCAGCCGCGGUAAUAC
rnacentral:rRNA from 1 species